rnacentral:rRNA from 1 species
CAGCCGCCACGGUAAUACGAGGGGGGCAAGCGUUGUUCGGAUUUAUUGGGCGUAAAGGGUGCGUAGGCGGUUUGACAAGUCUCGUGUGAAAUCUAUGGGCUCAACCCAUAGCCUGCACGAGAAACUACCGGGCUUGAGUAUUGGAGAGGUGAGUGGAAUUUCCGGUGUAGCGGUGAAAUGCGUAGAUAUCGGAAGGAACACCUGUGGCGAAAGCGGCUCACUGGACAAUAACUGACGCUGAUGCACGAAAGCUAGGGGAGCAAACAGGAUUAGAUACCCCGGUAGUCCCUGUCUCUUAUAC